UACGGAGGUGGCAAGCGUUGUCCGGAAUUACUGGGCGUAAAGCGCGCGUAGGCGGGUUUGUAAGUCAGGUGUGAAAUUCCCGGGCUCAACCUGGGGGCUGCAUCUGAUACUGCGAGUCUUGAGUCCGGGAGAGGAGAGCGGAAUUCCUAGUGUAGCGGUGAAAUGCGUAGAUAUUAGGAGGAACACCAGUGGCGAAGGCGGCUCUCUGGGCCGGUACUGACGCUGAGGAGCGAAAGCGUGGGGAGCAAACAGG
rnacentral:rRNA from 1 species